AUGCAAGAUAGAAGAAGUAGAAUGAAAGAUAGUAAGAAUGAAAGAAAAUAAAUCCGCAAUCUGGGGGUUUACUUUUCGGUUUAAUGUUCACUGUCUCUUGAUUACUUUCGUGAGUUGA